CUGAAGUCAGAUGCUUAACCAACUGAACUACCCAGGUAGGUGCCAUGGGAUUUUGUGAACCAUCUAAGCCAUCCUGAGAGACCUAUACUGAGGGCAUUUGAAUGCAGAGCACUGCUUCUUUUAACUCAGGUGAUAGGUUACGUGUAUGCGCUGGUGCCUGGCAGCUUUGGAGGAGGAGCCCUGUAUUCAGGGUAAACCUGGAGACAGUGCAUGUCCUGGUUGGCCUUGCAGUUGCCAGUUUUCUGAGAUUUAAGAUCAUAAUAACCAUGUAGGUAGCCUACUCAAAUUUCAGAUUCUCAGGUCCCUUUUUUGUUAGUUUGACAGUGGUGCUCUGGGGAGUGACUCAGGAAUAAAUGUUUCAAAAGUUUUACAAGUAAGUCUAUGAUCAAGAAAACCUGGACAACUCAUGUGUAGAUGACACAAUACCCAAAGCUAAUGAUUAUAGACAUUGACUUUGUCUAUAUGCUAACAAGAGUAUUAUGAUGAGUGCUUGUAAGACAAAAAUUCAUAAUUAUAAAAUCUGGAGUUAUAAUGCCAUUAAACUCUAUUUGUAGGAGUCUGAACAUUUCACCUUAAAUAUUUAUUAAAAUUCAGUUUGUGGAGUAUAAUUUAAAUGUGUUGUAAGAAAGAGGCACAUUUUCACAUGAAGAUCUUAUUAAGGUGAAAUUGUAUUCUGCUCCGUCCGUGUAAUGUGGCACAUCAAUAUCUUAAGCAAUGUAGAACUUUUACAUUUAAUGUCUUCACUAGGUAAUGAAAUGGAAUAUAGAAAUAUUUUUACAGGUUUUGAGUCUCUUUUUUUCAUUCAGAACAAAGUUGAGAUGAUGCACAAGUAUAUUACUGCAGCUAUAUCACAGCACAUAAUAAAUGAACUCGUAUAAGGAUAGAUAAAAACACCUCUUGAUAGUUUUCUCUGUCAGCAUGUUAAGAGAUUAUUGAUGGUAGAAAUCUAAAAGAAGCUUAAGAGCAGCUAAGGAACCAAAAGAGACAACUGAAAUGAAAAAGAAAGCUGUUCCAAUUUACUUUCCACAAACUGGUGGGCAACGGAGACUAUGUCAAAGUAAGGUUAUAUCAAGAAAGUAAAUGCCUCUGCCAAAAUUAGGAAAGGUAAUACUUAUAAAUUAAUAAAUAUUAUUUCCAUUAAUACACAUCAUAAAAAAUGAAUAGAUAUAUGGUAACAGAAUGUGUGUUAGAUUCAGCUCUUCUAUAAUAAUCAAAUUUUUGUAUAUUAGAGGGCUAGAAAUUUUGAUAUGUAAUUAGAGAUUAAAAUACACAGACAUUAGGCAAUUGGGUGGUUUUUGUGAUAAAAAGAAUUUACAUAAAGGAAACAGAAUGGACUAAUAUUUUCUAUGAAGCAACAAAGAAGGUAUUUUUGCUUAACGUUUAUUUAUUUACUUAAGAGAAAGAGAGGCAGACAUACAGAGCAUGAGAGGUGGAAGGGCAAAGAGAGAAGAAGACACAGAAUCCAAAGCAGGCUCCAGGCUCUGAGCUGUCAGCACAGAGUUCCACACGUGGAUCAAACUCACAAACCAAGAGAUCAUGAUCUGAGCGGAAGUCAUAUGCUUAACUGACUGUGCCAUCCUGGCACCCUGCAACAAAGAAGUUUCAGGUGGUGAUUUUGAGUUUUGAGGUAACUUCUAUAAUAUGACCAAUGGAUAUGUUUAAAACUUUAUCCUCUUAUCCUAUUUUAAUAGUAUGACUUCUGGUUAUAUUCAUUUCAUCACAAUCAUUAGAGAAAAUAAACUUGGUAAAAUCCCAAUCCCAUUAUAUUAUAAAUGGAUAAUUUGUUAUGUUAAUUUCUGAGAAUAUACAACUCGAAGUUGAACUAUAUUUUUAAGACUGUGUAUACUUAUGAAGGCAUUAUUUUUUUUUAAAAGUGUAUAUACAAAAUGAAGAUAAAUCGGUUUGUUUCCGAACCUGGAAAUAAAGAAAAAUGUGCUUUGAAUUUUAUUUUAAUUCUAAAAAGGAUCAAGUUGCUAUUAGGAGAGACUAAUAAAUAGAUUACUUGUGCCUGAUCUUUGAGUCUUCAAAGGAAAUCAUUGCAAAUGAUUUCAUUGCAUUCAGCAGUGAACAAAGGAAACAUAGCAAUUAGGUCAUUUAACAUCUAGAAUAAAGAACAUCCACCUAAAAACACAUUAAAAAAUACAGACUUUGAAUAUGUGGAAAAGAUUACAGUGGAAGAUGCAUUGAAAACAAUACAUGCUUUCUGACUUAUUUAGCUAAGCAUAAUACACUCUAGCUUCAUCCAUAUAAUUGCAAAUGGCAAGAUUUCAGUCUUGUUUAUGGCUGAGUAAUAUUCCAUUGCAUGUACAUUAUG